UACGGAGGGUGCAAGCGUUAAUCGGAAUUACUGGGCGUAAAGCGUGCGCAGGCGGUUUGUUAAGUCUGUUGUGAAAUCCCCGAGCUCAACUUGGGAAUUGCAAUGGAUACUGGCAGGCUGGAGUAUGGUAGAGGAAGGUGGAAUUCCCGGUGUAGCAGUGAAAUGCGUAGAUAUCGGGAGGAACACCUGUGGCGAAGGCGACCCCCUGGUUGGAUACUGACGCUGAGACGCGAAAGCGUGGGGAGCAAACAGG
rnacentral:rRNA from 1 species